rnacentral:rRNA from 1 species
AGCGAACGCUGGCGGCGUGCUUAACACAUGCAAGUCGAGCGAGAAAGUCCCGCAAGGGAUGAGUACAGCGGCGAACGGGUGCGUAACACGUGGGCAAUCUGUCCUUGAGACCGGAAUAACCCAGCGAAAGUUGGGCUAAUGCCGGAUAAGACCACGAGCAGACAUGUUUGCGGUCAAAGGGCGCUUCUUCUAGGAGCAUUCACUCACGGAGGAGCCCGCGGCCUAUCAGCUAGUUGGUAGGGUAACGGCCUACCAAGGCAAAGACGGGUAGCUGGUCUGGGAGGAUGACCAGCCACACGGGGACUGAGA